rnacentral:rRNA from 1 species
GACGAACGCUGGCGGCGCGCCUAACACAUGCAAGUCGAACGAGAGAGAGGAAGCUUGCUUCCUCAAUCGAGUGGCGAACGGGUGAGUAACGCGUGAGGAACCUGCCUCAAAGAGGGGGACAACAGUUGGAAGCGACUGCUAAUACCGCAUAAGCCCACGGGUCGGCAUCGACCAGAGGGAAAAGGAGCAAUCCGCUUUGAGAUGGCCUCGCGUCCGAUUAGCUGGUUGGUGAGGUAAUGGCCCACCAAGGCGACGAUCGGUAGCCGGACUGAGAGGUUGAACGGCCACAUUGGGACUGAGACACGGCCCAGACUCCUACGGGAGGCAGCAGUGGGGAAUAUUGCACAAUGGGGGAAACCCUGAUGCAGCGACGCCGCGUGGAGGAAGAAGGUUUUCGGAUUGUAAACUCCUGUCGUUAGGGACGAUAAUGACGGUACCUAACAAGAAAGCACCGGCUAACUACGUGCCAGCAGCCGCGGUAAAACGUAGGGUGCAAGCGUUGUCCGGAAUUACUGGGUGUAAAGGGAGCGCAGGCGGACCGGCAAGUUGGAAGUGAAAACUAUGGGCUCAACCCAUAAAUUGCUUUCAAAACUGCUGGCCUUGAGUAGUGCAGAGGUAGGUGGAAUUCCCGGUGUAGCGGUGGAAUGCGUAGAUAUCGGGAGGAACACCAGUGGCGAAGGCGACCUACUGGGCACCAACUGACGCUGAGGCUCGAAAGCAUGGGUAGCAAACAGGAUUAGAUACCCUGGUAGUCCAUGCCGUAAACGAUGAUAAAAGGUGUUGGAGGAUUGACCCCUUCAGUGCCGCAGUUAACACAAUAA